rnacentral:rRNA from 1 species
CCUGCGCGGAAGAUGUAACGGGGCUAAACCAUGCACCGAAGCUGCGGCAGCGACACUAUGUGUUGUUGGGUAGGGGUGCGUUCUGUAAGCCUGUGAAGGUGUACUGUGAGGUAUGCUGGAGGUAUCAGAAGUGCGAAUGCUGACAUAAGUAACGAUAAAGCGGGUGAAAAGCCCGCUCGCCGGAAGACCAAGGGUUCCUGUCCAACGUUAAUCGGGGCAGGGUGAGUCGACCCCUAAGG